rnacentral:tRNA from 1 species
GGGGCUGUGUCUCAGUGGAUCAGCCUCUGUUUUAGAUGCUGGAGGUCCUGGGUUCUAUCCCUGGCAACUCCA